rnacentral:lncRNA from 1 species
GAAGUUUUUUCGGCCACAGGCAGGCUACCUUUAAGAAAAUGGAUAUCUUCCACAGCAUGCACAUCUGAAGCAGACCCCUUACUGACUGCACUCAGGCAAUCUUCAGCAUCAUUCUUCUUCUCUGUAACAAUUUCACAAGAAUCUAAGGUCACAGGCUGGUGUAAUUUAACAUCCUUGUGACCUUUAAAAUCUUCAUGCAUCCGCUCAGCAUGGUCUACAACAGUAAUAUCAGCUGGCACAGAAGGCUCAUAGACACGUUCAUUAUCUAAGGUCACAUGCUGACGUAAUUUUAAUCCCUUGUGACCUUUAAAACCUUCAAGCAUCAUCUCUGCAUGGUCUACCACGGGAAUAUCAGCUGGCACAGAAAGCUCAUAGACAUUUUCAUUCCCUCUUUCCUUUCCACUAAAACUCUCAUU